CCUACGGGCGGCAGCAGUGAGGAAUAUUGGUCAAUGGACGAGAGUCUGAACCAGCCAAGUCGCGUGAAGGAUGACUGUCCUAUGGGUUGUAAACUUCUUUUAUAUGGGAAUAAAAUGUUCCACGUGUGGGAUUUUGUAUGUACCUUAUGAAUAAGGAUCGGCUAACUCCGUGCCAGCAGCCGCGGUAAUACGGAGGAUCCGAGCGUUAUCCGGAUUUAUUGGGUUUAAAGGGGGCGUAGGUGGAUUGUUAAGUCAGUUGUGAAAGUUUGGGGCUCAACCGUAAAAUUGCAGUUGAAACUGGCAGUCUUGAGUACAGUAGAGGUAGGCGGAAUUCGUGGUGUAGCGGUGAAAUGCUUAGAUAUCACGAAGAACUCCGAUUGCGAAGGCAGCUCGCUGGACUGCAACUGACGCUGAGGCUCGAAAGUGUGGGUAUCGAACAGGAUUAGAUACCCCUGUAGUC
rnacentral:rRNA from 1 species